rnacentral:rRNA from 1 species
AGCGGCAGGCUAACACAUGCAGUCGAGGGGCGAGCACGGGAGUAGCAAUACUUGGUGGCGACCGGCGCACGGGUGAGUAACGCGUAUGCAACCUACCUAUCAGGAGGGGAAUAACCCGGCGAAAGUCGGACUAAUACCGCAUAAAACAGGGGCACCGCAUGGUGAUAUUUGUUAAAGAAAUUCGCUGAUAGAUGGGCAUGCGUUCCAUCAGGUAGUUGGUGAGGUAACGGCUCACCAAGCCGACGAUGGAUAGGGGAACUGAGAGGUUGGUCCCCCACACUGGUACUGAGACACGGACCAGACUCCUACGGGAGGCAGCAGUGAGGAAUAUUGGUCAAUGGGCGGGAGCCUGAACCAGCCAAGUCGCGUGAAGGAAGAAGGAUCUAUGGUUCGUAAACUUCUUUUGCAGGGGAAUAAAGUGCAGGACGUGUCCUGUUUUGUAUGUACCCUGAGAAUAAGGAUCGGCUAACUCCGUGCCAGCAGCGGC